UCAAGCUACAAAGAGCAUAGGGAGGAUGCCUUGGCACCAAGCGCCGAAGAAGGACGUGGCAGGCUGCGAUAAGCUGCGGGUAGUUGCGAGCAAACGGUAAACCGCAGAUUUCCGAAUGAGGGAACUCACAUAUGGGAAAGCAUAUGUAACGUUACAUGAAUCAAUAGUGUAACGUGGGGAACCCGGUGAACUGAAACAUCUUAGUAACCGGAGGAAAAGAAAGUAAACACGAUUUUCUGAGUAGCGGCGAGCGAAAGGGAAAGAGCCUAAACCUUUGGUUUUCGGACCGAAGGGGUUACGGACAGAGAGAAAGCGAAAGCUCCUUAGCAGAACACUGAAUGAAAGCAGGACCGGAGAGGGUACCAGUCCCGUAAGCGAAAAGGAGGCAAGCGGCUCUGAAUCCAGAGUACCACAGGACACGAGGAAUCUGGUGGGAAGUCGGGGGGACCACCCUCCAAGGCUAAAUACGACUUGGUGACCGAUAGCGAAUAGUACCGUGAGGGAAAGGUGAAAAGAACCCCGGGAGGGGAGUGAAAGAGUACCUGAAACCCUAUGUUUACAAGCACAGGAAGAACGUUAAGAGUUCGACCUGGUACUUUUUGUAGAACGGACCGGCGAGUUACGUUAUGAUGCGAGGUUAAGGUAUGGAGUACCGGAGCCGGAGCGAAAGCGAGUCUGAAUAGGGCGAAAGUAUCAUGACGUAGACCCGAAACCGUGUGACCUAUCCAUGGACAGGUUGAAGUGAGAGUAAAAUCUCAUGGAGGACCGAACCACACUGCCGUUGAAAAGGUAGGGGAUGAGCUGUGGAUAGCGGGGAAAUUCCAAUCGAACACGGAGAUAGCUGGUUCUCCUCGAAAUAGCUUUAGGGCUAGCCUCGGGGUAGAGAGUUGCGGAGGUAGAGCACUGAAUAGGCUAGGGGGCCACAAAGCUUACUGAACCUUAUCAAACUGCGAAUGCCGUAAACUUAUACCCGGGAGUCAGACUGUGUGAGAUAAGUCUCACAGUCAAAAGGGAAACAGCCCAGACCAUCAGCUAAGGUCCCCAAGUACAGGUUAAGUGGAGAAGGAUGUGUCAGUGCAGAGACAACCAGGAUGUUGGCUUAGAAGCAGCCAUACAUUAAAAGAGUGCGUAAUAGCUCACUGGUCGAGUGCUGGUGCGCCGAAGAUGUAACGGGGCUAAAACCUGUCACCGAAGCUAUGGAUUCAUGCAAAUGAGUGGUAGAGGAGCAAUGUAUGCGGGCGGAAGCUGUACCGAGAGGAGCGGUGGACUGCAUACAAGAGAGAAUGCCGGUAUGAGUAGCGAGAGUGAGGUGAGAAUCCUCACCGUCGAAAGCCAAAGGUUUCCUGAGGAAGGUUCGUCCACUCAGGGUAAGUCGGGACCUAAGCCGAGGGCAGUAGAGCCGUAGGUGAUGGACAGCCGGUAGAGAUUCCGGCACCGCCGCACAAGCGAUUGAGGAAGCAGUGACACAGAAGGAUAGUCAGAGCGCGUUGAUGGUAGAGCGCGUCCAAGCAGUGAGGCUGAUGCAUAGUGAAGUACGUGCAUCAUAAGGCUGGGCUGUGAUGGGGAGUGAAAAUAGUAACGAAGCUGAUGAAUUCACGCUGGCGAGAAAAGCUGCUAACGAGCGAGUGAGGCGCCCGUACCGCAAACCGACACAGGUAGGCGAGGAGAGAAUCCUAAGACGAACGAGAGAACCCUUGUUAAGGAACUCUGCAAAAUGACCCCGUAACUUCGGGAGAAGGGGUGCCUAUAGAGAUAUAGGCCGCAGCGAAUAGGCCCAAGCGACUGUUUAACAAAAACACAGGUCUGUGCGAAAUCGAGAGAUGACGUAUACGGGCUGACGCCUGCCCGGUGCUGGAAGGUUAAGGGAACAUGUAAGCGCAAGCGAAGCAUCGAACUGAAGCCCCAGUAAACGGCGGCCGUAACUAUAACGGUCCUAAGGUAGCGAAAUUCCUUGUCGGGUAAGUUCCGACCUGCACGAAUGGCGUAACGAUUUGGGCGCUGUCU
rnacentral:rRNA from 1 species